rnacentral:tRNA from 1 species
GUGGUGGCUCAGUGGCAGAGUGCUUGCCUAGCAUGUGUGAGGCACUGGGUUUGAUCCUCAGCAUCACA